UGUAGGAGUGAGCCUGCUCGCGAUGACUGACUGUCAUUCAACAGUGAUGUCGACUGUAUGACCGCUAUCGCGAGCAGGCUCACUCCUACA
rnacentral:misc_RNA from 1 species